rnacentral:miRNA from 1 species
UUAAGGUUUAAUUUCACUUGUGUUUUCAAAGUUUCACAAAUUUUUUUCACAAUUUGUGAAACUUUGAAAACACGCGUGAAAUUAAACCUU